UACGAAGGGGGCUAGCGUUGUUCGGAAUUACUGGGCGUAAAGCGCGCGUAGGCGGCUUUGCAAGUCAGAGGUGAAAUGCCUGAGCUCAACUUAGGAAUUGCCUUUGGGACUGCGAGGCUUCGAGGACUGGAGAGGUGAGUGGAAUUCCCAGUGUAGAGGUGAAAUUCGUAGAUAUUGGGAAGAACACCAGUGGCGAAGGCGGCUCACUGGCCAGUUUCUGACGCUAAAGUGCGAAAGCGUGGGGAUCAAACAGG
rnacentral:rRNA from 1 species